CAGCAGCCACGGUAAAACGGAGGGGGCUAGCGUUGUUCGGGAUUACUGGGCGUAAAGCGCACGUAGGCGGCUUGGUAAGUUAGAGGUGAAAGCCUGGAGCUCAACUCCAGAAUUGCCUUUAAGACUGCCGAGCUAGCAGGUGAGAGAGGUAAGUGGAAUUCCGAGUGUAGAGGUGAAAUUCGUAGAUAUUCGGAAGAACACCAGUGGCGGAGGCGGCUUACUGGCUCAUACUGGACGCUGAGGUGCGAAAGCGUGGGGAGCAAACAGGAUUAGAUACCCCAGUAGUCCCUGUCUCUUAUAC
rnacentral:rRNA from 1 species